rnacentral:rRNA from 1 species
UACGUAGGGUGCGAGCGUUAAUCGGAAUUACUGGGCGUAAAGCGUGCGCAGGCGGUUUUGUAAGCCAGAUGUGAAAGCCCCGGGCUUAACCUGGGAAUGGCAUUUGGGACUGCAAGGCUGGAGUGUGGCAGAGGAGACUGGAAUUCCUGGUGUAGCAGUGAAAUGUGUAGAUAUCAGGAGGAAUACCGGUGGCGAAAGCGGCUUACUGGGUCUCUUCUGACGCUGAGGUACGAAAGCUAGGGUAGCGAACGGG